rnacentral:rRNA from 1 species
GCUUGCUGUUUCGCUGACAAGUGGCGGACGGGUGAGUAAUGUCUGGGAAACUGCCUGAUGGAGGGGGAUAACUACUGGAAACGGUAGCUAAUACCGCCUAACGUCACAAGACCAAAGAGGGGGACCUUUGGGCCUCUUGCCAUCGGAUGUGCCCAGAUGGGAUUAGCUAGUAGGUGGGGUAACGGCUCACCUAGGCGACGAUCCCUAGCUGGUCUGAGAGGAUGACCAGCCACACUGGAACUGAGACACGGUCCACACUCCUACGGGAGGCAGCAGUGGGGAAUAUUGCACAAUGGGCGCAAGCCUGAUGCAGCCAUGCCGCGUGUAUGAAGAAGGCCUUCGGGUUGUAAAGUACUUUCACCGGGGAGGAAGGGAGUAAAGUUAAUACCUUUGCUCAUUGACGUUACCCGCAGAACAAGCACCGGCUAACUCCGUGCCAGCAGCCGCGGUAAUACGUGAGGGUGCAAGCGUUAAUCGGAAUUACUGGGCGUAAAGCGCACGCAGGCGGUUUGUUAAGUCAGAUGUGAAAUCCCCGGGCUCAACCUGGGAACUGCAUCUGAUACUGGCAAGCUUGAGUCUCGUAGAGGGGGGUAGAAUUCCAUGUGUA